rnacentral:rRNA from 1 species
AUUGAACGCUGGCGGAAUGCUUUACACAUGCAAGUCGAACGGCAGCACGGACUUCGGUCUGGUGGCGAGUGGCGAACGGGUGAGUAAUGUAUCGGAACGUGCCCAGUCGUGGGGGAUAACGUAGUGAAAAUUACGCUAAUACCGCAUACGAUCUAUGGAUGAAAGCGGGGGAUCGCAAGACCUCGCGCGAUUGGAGGGGCCGAUAUCAGAUUAGGUAGUUGGUGGGGUAAAGGCCCACCAAGCCAACGAUCUGUAGCUGGUCUGAGAGGACGACCAGCCACACUGGAACUGAGACACGGUCCAGACUACUACGGGAGGCAGCAGUGGGGAAUUUUGGACAAUGGGCGAAAGCCUGAUCCAGCCAGUCCGGGUGCAGGAUGAAGGCCCUCGGGUUGUAAACUGCUUUUGUACAGAACGAAAAGGUUUCUACUAAUACUAGGAGCUCAUGACGGUACUGUAAGAAUAAGCACCGGCUAACUACGUGCCAGCCGCCGCGGUAA